GGGCACUUGGCACAGUUGGUAGCGCGCACGCUUCGCAUCAGCUUGAUUGCGUGAGGUCGUGGGUUCAAUUCCCACAGUGUCCA